rnacentral:tRNA from 1 species
GGGUUGCGAGCUUGGCGGGGAAAGCAUCCGGCUCUUACCCGGACGAGCGGGUUCGAGUCCUCGGCAACCCACGA